rnacentral:rRNA from 1 species
GAUGAAACGCUGGCGGCGUGCCUAAACACAUGCAAAGUCGAAACGAAAGCGCCUGGCCCCGACUUCUUCGGAACGAGGAGCCUUGCGACUGAGUGGCGGACGGGUGAGUAAACGCGUGGGCAACCUGCCUUGCACUGGGGAUAAACAGCCAGAAAAUGGCUGCUAAAUACCGCAUAAAGACCGAAGCGCCGCAUGGCGCGGCGGCCAAAAGCCCCGGCGGUGCAAAGAUGGGCCCGCGUCUGAUUAGGUAGUUGGCGGGGUAAACGGCCCACCAAAGCCGACGAUCAGUAGCCGACCUGAGAGGGUG